AAAAGCCUCUCUCUCUCUCUCUCUCUCUCUAAGGCUCUCCAUUGCUUCCCUCACCUUCUCUCUCUAAGCACCAGAGAGCCAAAAGAAGAAGAAGAAGAAGCAGAGGUGGUUCAGGGUUUCGAAAUCAGAGUAGUAGUCGUGUAGGUAGAGAUUGAUGUAAGCGUUGGUGGUUUUGUGUUGGAAGAAGAAGAAGAAGAGGAGGAGGAGCAAUGGCAACAGCGCCGGUGAAGCCGCCGCUGCACAACUUCCCGCUAUCGUUCUUGAAAUGGGGGAGCAAGAACCACACCAACACCAACCACCGCUACCGCCGCCCCGUCUCCGCCGAGCCCGAACCGUCCGACGAUUCCGAGCAGCCGCACCAGCACCACCACGGCAAUCGCGUCGGAUCCCGCACCGCGCGCCACCGCUUCUCGCUCACUUCCUGCUCCGAGAAGCUUCCGAGGUCGCAGAAUUCCGAGAAAGAGAGCGAGGACAGCGACGACGACGGUAAGGGCGCGGCCGCCACCGCCGCGGCGGCGGAGGAGGCUGAGGUUCAGAAGCCGUGGAAUCUGAGGCCGAGGAGAGCACCGGCUUCGAUGACGACGGCGAUGACUUCGAAGGCGAAUAAUACUACUACUGCGAACGGCGAGCUGCAUGAGCCGGAGGGUCCGAACCCGAACCCGAAGCAGGGCGAGCAGCCGGCGCCGAAGUCGAUGAGGCUGAGGGGUUUGGCUGAAGGUCCGAGCAUGGAGAAGAAGAAGAAGGAGAAGAGGAAGUUCUGGAUCGCUUUGUCUAAGGAUGAAAUUGAAGAGGACAUAUUCAUCAUGACCGGGUCCAGACCCGCCCGGCGGCCCAAGAAGCGGCCCAAGAAUGUCCAGAAACAGCUCGAUAAUUGUUUUCCGGGUUUAUGGCUCGUGGGGUUUACAGCUGAUGCUUAUCGGGGUGCCGAUUCUCCGACUAAGAAGUAGAAGAUUGUGUGUUCUUAUUUGAAAGCUGGCAAACGAAAAGGGCUGCCCCUGUGGUGUGGAAACCUCUAGUUGAGACUUCCCAUCGUUGGGGGGCAGAGUAGCAUAAUUUGAAAACCCUAUUUCGAUACAAGGUUUAUUGACCGCAUGCUUCCUUGUUCUGGAGAGCUCCUCAGUUCAAUUGGGCUACAACAAAAGCAGCCUUCAUGAGGUUGAAUGUUAAGUGUUAGCCUGCAUGUAUAAUCUUUUAACAUCUUUUCAUUUUUCACAUUGAUAGCCAUUAUGACUUUUGCAUGCUAAUAGGUUUAGAGAAAUAGGUUUUGCUGCUAAAUGUCUGUGCUUGUAAUAUUUUGCUGCUCAUGGUUAGGUGUAUAAUGGUUUGAUCUUUUAACUUAUACAUCCAGAACAAAAUGAUUUUGUUUUUGCACGUGGUGCAUUCUUGGUAUUCAUUUUUCUGUUUUGCACAUGGCUUUUGCAUUUGUAUAGGUAGUUUCAUUCUUUUCAUCCUAAUGGCUUGAGGAAAUCUGAAGAAUCUGUAUCUUGUGCUUCAUGACUACGGUCUUUUUUAGCAUCUCCAAGCAGUCACAUUCUGCAAAAUUGAUGUUCGUCAGGUGUAAUGACUUCUUGUGGAUAUCAGACUUUCUGAUUUAUGCUUUUCAACGAGAUGUGCUAGUUUAUGGUAAUCUCCGGUGUUCACGAUAUCUGUCCCUUAGUUGAUGUCUUCAUGCAAAAGACACACCAUAUACAUAUUGAGGAGAAAGAAAUAAUGAAAGUUCUAGCCAUAGUUUCCUCACUAGCUUUCUAGCUGAUUUACCCUUUUAGGUCAGAAAUGGUUAUAAUCCUUUCAAUGUCCUCAUUUUUUCUUUUCUUUUUUGCCCCAAAUCCUUUUAGUGCUUGUUGGUUAAAGUUUGGUAAUUGGUUUUAUAUGAAUGUCAGGUAAACCCAUUAAAUUGCACUUAAAACAGUUUUCA